GGGGUUGUGGCUCAGCAGUAGAGCACUCGCCUAGCAUGUGUGAGGCCCUGGGUUCAAUCCUCAGCACCA
rnacentral:tRNA from 1 species